rnacentral:lncRNA from 1 species
UGGUCGAGUCUGCUCCCAGUCAGCUUCCUGGCGUCCUACUCGACGUGUCAUCGAGCCAUGACGUCGAGUCUGGUCCUGGGUGAUCUUGAACGACUUCAUUCCUCUCCAAUUCGAUCCCAAGUCUAGCUCCAAGGUCGUGUUGGUUCCUCCUUGCUCCAUUAAGUCCCAAAUAAGCUCCAAAGUACCUGAAACUCAUCCAAUAUGCAACAUGCUAUGCCACGCAAUGCAAAUCGUACUAAGUGAUGAAAAUCUUAUGAAAA